rnacentral:rRNA from 1 species
AACGAACGCUGGCGGCAUGCCUAACACAUGCAAGUCGAACGAGACCUUCGGGUCUAGUGGCGCACGGGUGCGUAACGCGUGGGAACCUGCCCUUAUGGUCGGAAUAACUCCCCGAAAGGGGUGCUAAUACCGGAUAAUGUCUUCGGACCAAAGAUUUAUCGCCUUUGGAUGGGCCCGCGUUGGAUUAGCUAGUUGGUAGGGUAAAAGCCUACCAAGGCGACGAUCCAUAGCUGGUCUGGGAGGAUGAUCAGCCACACUGGGACUGAGACACGGCCCAGACUCCUACGGGAGGCAGCAGUGGGGAAUAUUGGACAAUGGGCGAAAGCCUGAUCCAGCAAUGCCGCGUGAGUGAUGAAGGCCUUAGGGUUGUAAAGCUCUUUUACCCGGGAUGAUAAUGACAGUACCGGGAGAAUAAGCUCCGGCUAUCUCCGUG